UACGAGGGGGGCGAGCGUUGUUCGGAAUUAUUGGGCGUAAAGGGUGCGUAGGCGGUUUGGUAAGUCUUAUGUGAAAUCUACAGGCUCAACUUGUAGUCUGCAUGAGAAACUGCCGGGCUUGAGUAUGGGAGAGGUGAGUGGAAUUCCUGGUGUAGCAGUGAAAUGCGUAGAUAUCAGGAGGAACACCGAUGGCGAAGGCAGGUCUCUGGGCUGACACUGACGCUCAUGCACGAAAGCGUGGGGAGCAAACAGG
rnacentral:rRNA from 1 species